CACGCCGUAAACGUUGAGAACUAAGUGUUGGGGAGACCCAGUGCUGAAGCUAACGCAUUAAGUUCUCCGCCUGAGGAGUACGCACGCAAGUGUAAAACUUAAAGGAAUUGACGGGGGCCCGCACAAGCAGUGGAGCAUGCGGUUUAAUUCGAGGCUACGCGAAGAACCUUACCAGGGCUUGACAGGAAACUUAAGACCCUAGAGAUAGGGGGAUAAUAAGUGAAACAGGUGG
rnacentral:rRNA from 1 species